ensembl:lncRNA
GCGGGAGCUGUUUCUCACACCGAACCUUCUCCGCUUAGCGCAGAAAGAACCGUACCUCCCAAGCCGCCAACCGGCUACGACCUGCAGCGAGGCGGAGCUUCUACCUCGUUGGCACUACUGAGCACCUGCUGUGUGCCAGGCACUGUGUUAGCCCAGCUUGCAACCAUGAACGAGGACCAACCAGACCUCUCUCCGUGUCCUGGCAGCGCUGACAGGCCAGUGGGGGACACAGACAAUAAACUACUCCCAAAAGGCACGUGAAGUGGGCGAAGCGCACACGCAGGGGGAGGCAGAGUGGGCAAACGCGUACAAAGGGCUUAAGGCGGGACUGGGUGUGGCGAGGGGACGCGGGGCGGGGCUUUCAGUCUAGGGAGGUUUCGAGCAGGGAGCCUCCGAAUAGGAUUGAAGUGAUGGUUCAGCCAGGGUCCGGAUCCGUCCGCCACUUCCUGGUCGUAGGACCUCAGGCAGGUGAGUUAGCCCCUUAAGCCUCUGCUCUGCUCAACAGCAAAAUAAAAACAGCGACGGCUGCCACAUACUUGCCGUGCAGACCAGGUGGCAGAACACACUGGCACAUGCGCAGUGGGCACGGAGAGAAAGCUCUUGGAGCCUCAGCUGCCCAAGCUGUAAAAUGGGCACCAGUGGCCAAGUCACCUGUGCCUUUGGCCUGUCACCUGGGAGCCGAGGAGACUGGAGAAGCACCCCCACUCCCCACCCCACCCCACAACCCCUGGCUCCAUGUACGAUGGAGCCCAGCAUCUAGGCUGUCAAUUGUUAUCAACAGCCUUCGCGGGGUGGGGGUGGGGGACUGAUUAGGGGUUAUUUACCCUCUGGCCAUAAAACCCAGGGGCAACCGAGCGGGAGCAGCUGUCCGACCCACCCUCGCAGGUGUCAGCUCGAAGGAUCUGGGGCCGCUGCGGCCUCCUGGGACAGGCUCCUGCCAAUGGCCUCAGCCUGCCGGGCGCCGCAGGAGGGGCUGGGAGGAGCCUGCACUUAUCUUAAGAAUCACAGGGCCUUUCACCAGCCUCAAGGGCUCCAGGAGAACAAAGGCCAGCAGCUUCCCAACACCAGGUGGCUGACAAUUCAGAAAGAGGCUCAGAGAGGGGAAGGGACUUGCCAGGCAGCCACACAGCGUUGGAUCUGCUGUCCUUCACAGCCGCCACCCCCGGGCUCCCGGUCCAGGCAAAGGAGGCCCCCCGCCACUGGGCUUCUGACCAGCCUGGCAGGUUUGGCUGAGACUUCCAAAGUGCCAGACUCAGGGGGCUGUGGCGGACCCCGACUUCCCCGGGAAACUUCCGGGCAAAAGUGGAAUCGGUUCCGAAUCAGUGGUCGUCCCUACCACUGGCUGCUGCCUGCUGAAGGACACCCGGGCCAAGCCAGCUCUGUCCUCAUUGGACGCUCUCCAAGCAAAACUCCAGUUCCAGAGGCUGCCUGUCAGAAGCAGACGGGUGGCCGAGGCACCCUGGCCCCCCGUGCGGGGAACGAAGCUCUCCAAACCAGCCUUCCAGAAGCUGAGCCCCUGGGAUGUCGGGUCCUGCCCCGGCCAAGGAGGCCACAUCACGUCUGCCCAAGUUCUCCAGAAAAUCCCCACCCAGAGGAGGGAGGCAGAGGUCACCGGGUCCCAGCCUUUGUCCUUUUUCCUGUGGAAUUCCACUUUGGCGAAAUUUCUCUUGAAUUCCCAGGAAGUUCUGCAGAAGCCCAUGGAUGACACUCACUCAUGCCAAGUCUGUUGUGAGCGGAAUGCUUCCCGGCAGAGGCUGCCCAGGGCAAGGGUGCUGCUGGCCACCUGCUCUGGCCUCACCUGCUGGGGGGCCCCCCGUGUCGCUAUUCAUAGCAGCAACGCAAGUCAUCAUUAACUUCUGAGAAUUUCCAACUAAGAUGGACCCCCUGGUACAGGAAAACCGCGGGUCCCUAGGACGCUGCUCGGUGUCACAGCAGUGAAAACUGAGGCUCAGGCACACAGUCCUGAAAAGCUUAAGUGGGAGUUCCAUGGUGGUUCAGGGGGUUCAGCAUCCAGCAUUAUCACUGCUGUGGUGCAGGCUUGAUCCCUGGCCUGGGAACUUCCACAUGCCAUGGGUGUGAAUUUAUAAAAAAAAAAAAAAAAAAAAAAGCUUAACUAUAGAAACACCAUGUGACCCAGCAAUUCCACUCGAGGGCACAAACUCAAGAGAAACAACAGUGGCCUCCACACGGGGCUACAUUUUAUGUUAAGUUCUACACCAUGAUCCUGCCACUACUGCCUCUGGAAUCAGAAUGUCAGGGUUCAAACCCUGGCUCUACCACUCAACAGCUGUGUGACCUUGGACAAAUCACUUAACCUCUCUGUGCCUCGGUUUCCACGUCUGUACACGGGGCUGGUGAUAUCAGACUUGGCUGACAGGGCACGUGAAGGCUGGAUGAACAACCCACGGGAGGUCCCUUCAACCCCUCGCCUGGACCUCAGGCACCCCCAGAAGUGGAGCCCGGGAGUCAGACACGCUCAAGGUCAAAGCCCAGCCUCCCGUGACGGCUCCAGGCGGACUGCUCUGACGGAACGACACCCGGAUCCCCUGGACACUCAGGAUCCUUUCCCAGGAUCCUCUCGAGUGCUUGGAAGAGGCCACCGAGGUCCUGUGGCCACGGGGACCCGGCCCCCACCUCUGUCCCAGCGGUGGCCCGGCAACCGAGCGAGGAGAGCGGGUUCUGGAAGCGCCUCUCCCAGGCCUGGGCUCCAGGCACGUGGCUUCACCUGCUCUGUCCUUCUGGGCCCCCACCCCCUGGGGUGUGGGGAGGACGGACUAAAGGGUGCGUACGAAAUACAUCAAUAAAUAAUGUGUGCGCGCAGGAGAGAGAGAGC